CAGUCGAGCCUGGCGCAGACUCUACCCCCUGAGGAAGCACCUGUCGACCGACCGUAUUGGACCAGCGACGAUCCCGACAUGCCGCUGCCUUUCGAUCUCUCUGACAUCAUCAGCCGGGUGGAGUCACUCCUCUGGAGGAUGUAAAGAUUUUGUCAGACAGUGAAGGAGGCAGAUGAAAGACAGAAAGAGAUCGAGGUACCAUGAAGGAGUGGGUACAGGUGAUCCAAGAAUUGCACUUACCUGGAGAUGAGCACUCACACACACACACACACACACACUCACACACACACACAUAUAUACGCACACACCAACCAGGAGACUCCACCACCGGAUCGAUGGACAGAUGGAAACGAAGAACAGAACUGGGACAAGACUUGGAGUUCUUUUUUUUAUCUUUCUCAUAUCUUCCUUCAUGGCCGUUUAAUGUGUAGUGUUACAAUGAGAACGCAUUUAAACAUUUCAGCAGUAGCUUUCAGAAACCUAGUCAUCCAGCUGUGUACAAUUUUAUUCAUAUUCACCUAGUGUCUUUUAACGAGUCGUGUCUGUCCUGCAUCACAUAUACAGUAUACACAAUGCGCUUCUCAAUGCACUUAUUGCUCGUUAUCUGAAGAUACACAGAGGGUCCCAGCCACCCGGAUGGGAGGGAGGUCAUGUGACUGAAGUCUGGUGAUGUCAUUAAGUGUCAUGGCAUGCUUUAGUUUUCAGUCUUGCGUGUCAGUAUUGUCGAUGAUUGAUUGUGUGUUUGCUUUCGUCUGCAAGUGUGUGUGUGAAGUUGUGGACACAGAAGUGGAUGAGUUUAGAUGUGUGUGUGCGCACAAGCGUGCAUUUGAAAGUGGCAGUGAGGAUGCGUGCCUUUUAGUUUAUAUGUUCCUGUGUGUGUGGCAGUGAGUAUGCCUGCGCUUUGUACUUUUUUUUUUUACUUUUAGUAUUGAUUUCAUCUCAGUGUGUGUGUGAGAUGACCGUAAAAUGAUGGCGUCUUUUUUCCUAAAGCUAUGUCCACAUAGUUUAAAAAAAAAAAGAGUUGGAUGCCACACCCCCUUCACUAUGACUGACAAGCCCAGGCCACACCUCUUUUAUUGGGACCAACAUGGUACGGAAACAGUGUGUGAUCUUUUGUGCACUUUUCUGGCCACUAGCUUCAGGAUCUUGAAGCUUGCAACCUGAUUGGCUCUGCACAUCACCAUGUGACGCUUUCAGUGAGAAAACGCUGCAACAUCGAUAACAUUUCAGAGCAGGAUCCAGUCCCUGGACUCCAAAACGUAUGAGAAAUCCUGUCUUUAAAAAGUUAUCAAUCAAGCUGUCGUGUGAAGUAGGUAGGCCCUGUCUCCAUGCCUCCAGAGAUUAUUAUUUUUUUUUUUGAAAGCAUAGAUUUUACUCCGCCUCCAUUUUUAUAUAAACAAACAACAUUUCUGGAAAUAUCUCCAUCGACACAAAAACAAUUUGAAAACGCUUCCAUGAGUACGCCAGCCCAGUGAGAGGACCUCAUAAACUUGUGUCCAACUCCUCAAGAAUAAAGUUGAGUAUAUUGAGUGUUAGAGGAAAAAAUAAAACAUGAAAGACACUAAAACACCAAAAGUUUUGCGAUUUAAUCGAAUUUGUGAUUCAAUUCCAGAUCACUGAUUUAAAUCAGCGAAUCUUUACACCAGUUUGGUUCUCGAUCUCAGAAGAUACAAGGUUCAUGAGAUGUUUCAUCUUAAACCAUGUGGAUAUAGCUUAAUGAGUUUGUGUAUGAGUGUGUGUGUGUGUGUGUGUGUCCUCCCAGGCUGAUUAGUGUUGAUAGGCAGCUCGGACUGAAUCCUUCACUUCCUGCUUUGCGUAACUCGAACAGCCUUUCCACUCGCUUCCUCUCUCUCUCUCUCUCUCUCUCUCUCUCUCUCUCUCUCUCUCUCUGCUGCCGGCUGAGAAAGGAACACAA